rnacentral:rRNA from 1 species
UCGGCCUGGGAUGUGCUCGCGGCCUAUCAGCUUGUUGGUGAGGUAAUGGCUCACCAAGGCUUCGACGGGUAGCCGGCCUGAGAGGGGAACCGGCCACACUGGGACUGAGACACGGCCCAGACUCCUACGGGAGGCAGCAGUGGGGAAUAUUGGACAAUGGGCGGAAGCCUGAUCCAGCAACGCCGCGUGAGGGAUGACGGCCUUCGGGUUGUAAACCUCUUUCAGCACAGACGAAGCGCAAGUGACGGUAUGUGCAGAAGAAGGACCGGCCAACUACGUGCCAGCAGCCGCGGUAAUACGUAGGGUCCGAGCGUUGUCCGGAAUUAUUGGGCGUAAAGGGCUCGUAGGCGGUCUGUCGCGUCGGGAGUGAAAACCAGGUGCUUAACACCUGGCCUGCUUUCGAUACGGGCAGACUAGAGGUACUCAGGGGAGAAUGGAAUUCCUGGUGUAGCGGUGAAAUGCGCAGAUAUCAGGAGGAACACCGGUGGCGAAGGCGGUUCUCUGGGAGUAUCCUGACGCUGAGGAGCGAAAGUGUGGGGAGCGAACAGGAUUAGAUACCCUGGUAGUCCACACCGUAAACGUUGGGCGCUAGGUGUGGGACACAUUCCACGUGUUCCGUGCCGCAGCUAACGCAUUAAGCGC